UGGAAAACAAGCAUGGUACUGUGAAAAAAAUCCUCCUCUCACCCUACAGAUACCUGUGCCGAGAGCUUGGAAGGCAUUUCUAUAGACUCAUUACGAGUGACUGUUAAAGUCCCCAUUCACUGAGAAGCAAAGCCACACCUAUCUCCUGUGCUUGUGGAUGAGGGUGUGACUCCAACUCCCUCUGCCCUGUUUGGUAGUGCUUCUUCCUAUCUCCAUCGAUUGUUCUCAACAGUAAAGACAUGAUGUGAUGCUGUGUAUAAGAGAAGAACUGGACGCAAAAGGAAACAAAGAGCUAUUGUGCUAACACUUCUAAUAGAGACCUAUGAAACAGUGGAAGAUUACGUUGAUGAGAAAGGAGAGCAAACAUGAAAAAAAAAAAGACAGUGCCUUGCCCUCCCCAGCAGCCCCUCUCUGUCAACGGGUCCUCAGGAAAGGUUGAAGCCUUUCAAGAUCCUCUCCCAUCACUGAUGGAAUCUUGUCUGAAUCCUAUGCAGGAAGCACAGAGGCUGUGAGUUUGUGAGUACGAAGACCAGACCACCAUAUCCAAGAGACAUUUCAUAGCAUUCUUCCAUGUCUUUCAUUUAGACUAAGUACUCAGCAAUCACAUAUUCUAGUGCACUGAUCACAAAAGUGUCACUACUUUAGCUGUUUUCAUUUGCAAAUGAAGCCAAGAGAUAGUACUUACCUAUAAGUUGUGUAGCAAAGGAUAUAGACAAAGGAAAAUAAAAAUAAAAAUUUGAACCAGUAUUGCAUGUGAUCUACGUUGAACUAUUUAGUCAAUUAAUUCACCCAAAUCUCUUUUGACCCCUGUAAUUAUACAAUGCUUUCUAAGUAUAAUGCAUAUAAUUAGAGGAAAACAGACCA